rnacentral:rRNA from 1 species
AGUGAACGCUGGCGGUAGGCCUAACACAUGCAAGUCGAACGGCAGCACAGUAAGAGCUUGCUCUUACGGGUGGCGAGUGGCGGACGGGUGAGGAAUACAUCGGAAUCUACUUUUUCGUGGGGGAUAACGUAGGGAAACUUACGCUAAUACCGCAUACGACCUACGGGUGAAAGCAGGGGAUCUUCGGACCUUGCGCGAUUGAAUGAGCCGAUGUCGGAUUAGCUAGUUGGCGGGGUAAAGGCCCACCAAGGCGACGAUCCGUAGCUGGUCUGAGAGGAUGAUCAGCCACACUGGAACUGAGACACGGUCCAGACUCCUACGGGAGGCAGCAGUGGGGAAUAUUGGACAAUGGGCGCAAGCCUGAUCCGGCCAUACCGCGUGGGUGAAGAAGGCCUUCGGGUUGAAAAGCCCUUUUGUUGGGAAAGAAAAGCAGCAGGUUAAUACCCCGCUGUUCUGACGGUACCCAAAGAAUAAGCACCGGCUAACUUCGUG